CUUUUAUGUAAAAAUUUAUCCACAAAUUUUACUUUUUAUAAUACUAAUUUCUUUCAAUGGAUUUGAGUCACUUUCUGGUAUCAUUUCUUUGAAGCCUUUAGGUUUUCUUCAGCUUUAAGGCAGGCUGGCUAUCAAUACACUUUCUUGGUCUUUAUUAAUCUGAAAAUGUCUUUAUUUUGCAUUUACUUUGAAGAACAGUUUUGCUAGAUGUAGAAUUCUAGAUUGACAGUUCCUUUUCUUUCAGCAUGUCAAAUAUAUUGCCACUGCCUUCUGGCCUCCAUUGUUUCUGAUGAGUCAGCUGUUAACCUGUUGUUCCUCUAUAUGAGAAUAUUUUCUUGCUCCUUUCAAGAGCUUCCCUAACAGUUUCACUAUAAAACAUGUCUAGAUGUCAUUCUAUGUUUACCCCAGGCUUUACUGAAACCUUGUAUUUGUAGUUCUUUUAAUUUGUUUGUGCUUUAAGAGACAGGGCUCACUAUGUUGCCCAGGCUAGUGUUUUAACUCCUGGGCUCAAACAGUUCUCCUGGCUCAGUCUUCCAAAGUGCUGGAAUUACAGGCAUAAGCCACUGCACCCAGCCAUGUAGGGUAUUUUAAAUCAAAUUGAGGGAGUUUUCAGCCAUUACUUCUCCAAAUAUUUACCCCCCUUCUAAGACUCCCAUUAUACAUGUUGUUAUGUUUGAUGUUGUCUCACAAAUUUCAACACAAAGAUUAUCUAUAAUGAAAUGGGGCCUUCUCUUUAUGAAGCACUUAAAUUAUUUUUGUUCUAUUUACUUUUAAAAUCUUAGUUCAGUACUGAUAUCAAGAAAAUAUAUAUUUUCUUCCUUUCAGAAAUAGAAGAGGGGCAUAGUACUUAAGACUUUUGUUCUGCAUACUAGCAUAUGAUGUGACAAAAGUGAAACAGUAAUACAGUAAUGACCUGGUAUGGAAUGAAAUGAAUUACUGCUUCCAGUUACAUUAUCAGAAUUUCUUCAUAUACAGUUAUUAGAAGGGAGAAUGAAGGUGGAACAGUGGUGUUCCUCUUCAGGAACAGACAAUAUUUAUAAAACCUUAAAUGUAAUCUUUAAUGAAAAGAUAUAAGCAUUAUAAAAGAAGGGGUCAUAAUGAGUGAUGUGGAGAUGGCUACAUAUACUUUCUUAAGAAUGCCACAUCAAUUAAAUAACAAAUAUAAUUAGUUC
rnacentral:lncRNA from 10 species